rnacentral:rRNA from 1 species
CGCACUCCUACGGGAGGCAGCAGUGGGGAAUAUUGCACAAUGGGCGCAAGCCUGAUGCAGCCAUGCCGCGUGUAUGAAGAAGGCCUUCGGGUUGUAAAGUACUUUCAGCAGUGAGGAAGGUGGGUAUGUUAAUAGCAUAUUCAUUUGACGUUAGCUGCAGAAGAAGCACCGGCUAACUCCGUGCCAGCAGCCGCGGUAAUACGGAGGGUGCGAGCGUUAAUCGGAAUUACUGGGCGUAAAGCGCAUGCAGGUGGUUUGUUAAGUCAGAUGUGAAAGCCCGGGGCUCAACCUCGGAAUUGCAUUUGAAACUGGCAAACUAGAGUACUGUAGAGGGGGUAGAAUUUCAGGUGUAGCGGUGAAAUGCGUAGAGAUCUGAAGGAAUACCGGUGGCGAAGGCGGCCCCCUGGACAGAUACUGACACUCAGAUGCGAAAGCGUGGGGAGCAAACAGGAUUAGAUACCCUUGUAG